rnacentral:sRNA from 1 species
AGAGAACCCACUAGGGGAUGAGCCCGAACUAGGGAUGUGACACAGCGCGAGACCCAGCCUAGAGAGAGCCCGGAGCCAGUGUGGGAGGCGGCUGCCGUCGCGCGGCUUGGUCGUGCUGCGGUUGUCCCAUUGGGGACUUGGCGGCGACUGUCCCUGUGCUGGUUUGCAGUGUGUGGGUUCAUUCACCUGGUGAUCGAGGGCUGGUUCAUUCUCUACUACGAAGACCUGCUUGGAGACCAAGCCUUCUUAUCUCAACUCUGGAAAGAGUAUGCCAAAGGAGACAGCCGAUACAUCCUGGGUGACAACUUCACAGUGUGCAUGGAAACCAUCACAGCUUGCCUGUGGGGACCACUCAGCCUGUGGGUGGUCAUCGCCUUUCUCCGCCAGCAUCCCCUCCGCUUCAUUCUACAGCUUGUGGUCUCUGUGGGCCAGAUCUAUGGGGAUGUGCUCUACUUCCUGACAGAGCACCGCGACGGAUUCCAGCACGGGGAGCUGGGCCACCCUCUCUACUUCUGGUUUUACUUUGUCUUCAUGAAUGCCCUGUGGCUGGUGCUGCCUGGAGUCCUUGUGCUUGAUGCUGUGAAGCACCUCACUCAUGCCCAGAGCACGCUGGAUGCCAAGGCCAGAAAAGCCAAGAGCAAGAAGAACUGAGGAGUGGUGGACUGGGCUCGAACACUGGCCGAGGAGGAGCUCUCUGCCUGCCAGAAGAGUCUAGUCCUGCUCCCACAGUUUGGAGGGACAAAGCUAAUUGAUCUGUCACACUCAGGCUCAUGGGUGGGCACAAGAAGGGGAAUAAAGGGGCCGUGUGAAGGCACUGCUGGGAGCCGUUAGAACACAGAUACAAGAGAAGCCAGAAGAUCUAUAAUGGUGACAGUUUUUUAAAUCAGGAAAUAAAAGAUCUUGA